AGAGAGCAGCAAAAGGGCGUACGGUGGAUGCCUAGACACGAAAAGCCGAUGAAGGACGUAGCAGCCUGCGAAAAGCUUCGGGGAGGUGGCAAGCAACCUUUGAUCCGGAGAUGUCCGAAUGGGGAAACCCGGCUGCCUGUUGAGGGCAGUCACAAUCCAGGGUGACCUGGUGCGUGGGAACCCGCUGAAGUGAAACAUCUCAGUAAGCGGAGGAAAAGAGAGAAACAAUGCCAUUAGUUCAGGGUAUUGGAUCGGCCGAUUUCGGUCGGUGGAAACACGUCCUGAACUAUUGGCUACGAUUCCCCCAGUAGCGGCGAGCGAACAGGGAACAGCCCAAACUCAUGGUUGUGGUUUGGCGCACCGAGCUAGAAUGGCAACAUUCCUGCCACGGGCGCCCAAAUAAAGGUGCCGGCCGUUGCACCAUGAGGGUUGUACGUAGUCCGCUAGGAACACCGGUGAUGUUCCAGCGAGUCAAAAAAGUUGGACCAUAGCAAAACGAUCUGGAAAGGUCGACCACAGAAGGUGACAGUCCUGUAUGUGAAAUGCUCCAACUCUUCGCGCGGACUUAACGUGAGUAAUGCGGGACUCGUGAAAUCCCGUAUGAAUCAGCGACGACUAUGUCGCAAGGCUAAAUACUUUUCGUGAUCGAUAGUGAACUAGUACCGUGAGGGAAAGGUUAAAAGCAGCCCGGGAGGGCGAUGAAAUAGUAUCUGAAACCGUACGCUUACAAGGAGUCGGAGCCCCAAUUCGUAGCAAUACGGAGGGGGUCACGGCGUUCCUAUUGAAGAAUGAGCCAACGAGUUGGAUGUGUGUCGCUCAGGUUAAGUCCCCGAGGGGACGGAGCCGCAGUGAAAGCGAGCCUUAACGGGCGUAGCUGACUACCAUCAACUCUGUCGAUCGCGCAAGCGGUGGACAGGGAGAUGGAAGCCAGCAGGUGGCACGCACCAGACCCGAAACCCAGUGAGCUAGCCAUGGCCAGGUUGAACCAGGGGUAAGACCCUGGGGAGGACCGAACCCGUCAGUCGUGUAACGCUGUGGGAUGAGCUGUGGUUAGAGGUGAAAUGCCAAUCGAACUGGGUGAUAGUUGGUUCUCCGCGAAAUAGCUUUAGGGCUAGCGUCGGUUUAGAAGUACACGGGGGUAGAGCACUGAAUGGGGGCACCGGGAGCAAUCUUAGGUCCCUCAACCAAACUCCGAAUACCGUGUGUGGAUUUCCGGCAGUCAGACUAUGGGGGCUAAGCUCCAUCAGUCGUAAGGGAAACAGCCCAGACCUCAGACUAAGGUCCCUAAGUUUCAGCUAAGUGUGAAAGGCGGUGGAUUGUCUUAUACAACCAGGAGGUUGGCUUAGAAGCAGCCAUCCUUCAAAGAAAGCGUAACAGCUCACUGGUCAAGAUGAUCUGCGCCGAAAAUUUACCGGGGCUAAGCUGGACACCGAAGUCGGGGAUCUCGCAGUAAUGCGGGGUGGUAGCGGAGCGUUCUCAUCUGGCUGAAGCCGGACCCGUGAGGGCCGGUGGACGGAUGAGAAGUGAGAAUGUUGGCAUAAGUAGCAAAAAUGGAAGUGAAAACCUUCCACGCCGCAAACCCAAGGUUUCCUGGGCAACGAAAAUCGUCCCAGGGUUAGUCGGUCCUAAGGCGAGGCCGAAGGGCGUAGUCGAUGGACAGCUGGUUAAUAUUCCAGCACUUCCGUGCGUGUUCGAUGGGGUGACGCAUCUCCCCAACCUGAGCGAUUUUCGGCUAUAGUCGUCGCGAGGGCGCAAGAAGUUCCGUAGGAAAAUCCGCGGAUAUAAUUCAAGCGCUCGGCGGAAGCUGACCGUAAGGUCGGCAAUUCAGGAGUCGGAGGUGCCAAGAAAAGCCUCUAAGAGCUAUCGCGCACGGGAUCCGUACCGCAAACCAACACAGGUGGGUGGGCAUAAAUGUGCCAAGGCGAACGAGAGAACCCUCGUUUAGGAACUCGGCAAAAUAGUGGCCGUAACUUCGGGAUAAGGCCCGGCCCCCGCAAGGGGGCCCGCAGCAAACGACUGUCAACCGACUGUUUACCAAAAACACAGGUCUCUGCUAAGCCGCAAGGCGAUGUAUAGGGGCUGAUGCCUGGCCAGUGUCAGAACGUUAAGAGGAGGGGUGAACUUCUGCUUCGGUAGAAUGUAGCUCUGAAUUCAAGCGCUGAUGAACGCCGGCGGUAACUAUGAACGGUUGUAGUUACAAGUGAGUAAACAGGAAAAAGCCAUAAAUCUGGCCAUAUGCGGGAACAUCUGAGUAUAUGCAAGUACUAGGGCCAUCUAUUGGUCCAGUAAAAAUCUUCGCAUUGCAGACAAUCCGCAGGAAAGACUUCUCCCCAUUUCAUUGGGUUUGAAGAAUCCUCAGAGACUUUACGCCGGACUUGUCCUCUAUCUAACACUGGGAUAGAGGGUAGCAAGAAGAUAAAGUCCGAUCUCACGGGCGACCGUGAGCCCAGCGACCGAACUGGGGUCCGUUCUGACGCUCCUUCUUGGAGCAAAGAGCGGAUUAACACAGGACAAUGAACCGUCCUAAGGUAGCGAAAUUCCUUGUCGGGUGAGUUCCGACCCGCACGAAUGGCAUAACGAGUUGACAACUGUCUCAACGAGGGACUCGGCGAAAUUGCAAGGGGAGUGAAGAUGCUCUCUACCCGUAGCUGGACGAAAAGACCCCGUGAAGCUUUACUACAACUUGUUAUUGGGUUUAGACCUCGCAUGUUCAGUGUAGGUGGGAGCUUCGGCGCCAAUGAGACACCACCCUUGCGUUGUUUAAAUUCUAAUCCUGUGACCUCACAGGUCGCGAAAGUAAGAUCUUCGGUUUCGACCGGAAUGUUCUUUACAUCUUUCGCGGUCGUUGCGGUCACGGGAGACAGUAGCUGGUGGGUAGUUUGACUGGGGCGGUGGCCUCCUAAAAGGUAACGGAGGCGUUUACAAAGGUUGGCUUAGCUCCGAUGGAAACGGAGCUGGACGUGCAAACGCAAAAGCCAGCUUUACUGGAAGUCCUACAAGACGACCAGUCACGAAAGUGGAAGUUAGUGAUCCGACCGUACGAAAUAGGACGGCGGAAGCUCAACGGAUAAAAGCUACUCCGGGGAUAACAGGCUGAUCAGGUCCAAGAGUCCACAUCGACGACCUGGUUUGGCACCUCGAUGUCGGCUCAUCGCAUCCUGGGGCUGGAGAAGGUCCCAAGGGUUAGGCUGUUC
rnacentral:rRNA from 1 species